AUGUCAGAUGCACAAAGUCAUAACGAUAAUAUUAUAUAUAUAAAUAGGAACUCUAAAAUCUCUAGAAAUUCUUCACUACAGCAUAACUGUUUGAUUCCACUUCCAACUUCAAAUGUGAGUUAAAUAUGAUUCAUUAGCAAUCCAUUUUCAGAAAUCAAUCACUAUCCAUUAAACAAGAUCUUGCUUGCAAAAUAGGUAUAUUGACGAUGUACACCCAGCAUUCAGACAACCAUUAAACAUCACCAUUCAGAACGGAAGAUAUUGUGACAUUUAUACUGCAAAG
rnacentral:misc_RNA from 1 species